GUUGAGAGUGUGCAAACCUGAAUAGAAUACCAAUCCUCCUCCCUUCUUCACCCAACCUCUCUCCCAUGGCAAUGGCCAUCAUCGAAGCGGGGCGGCGGCCCUGGUGAGGUCUGCGGAGGCCGCGGCCGGCGGAGGCCAUGGGGAUGGGUCGGCGGUUUGGUGUGGUGACGAGCAUCUCGGCGUCUCCAUCCGCGUGGGGGAGACCGAGUCGUUGUGGAGGUUUGAGUCUGCCAAAGUACGCAAUAUAUAUAGCUGCUGGAGAGUGGCUCAAGGUGAAGGAGUAGCAGCUGCUCAGGAGGAACGCGGUUGAGAUGCUUUGGGGGUUCGGUACGCAGGAGCACAUUGAUUUUGGUACAAAGUGAGUUGAUAUGGAGCCAGUACUUUUUUUUUUUGCACAUUGAUUUGGCGCAUCCACACAAAUAGCAGCGAAAAUGAAUGCAAGCCUUCGGUUCCUAAUUAAGUGUUGACUCUGUUAUUAUUUGACAACAAUCUAUUGGAAUCGUGGUGCGUAACUUAUUCUCUUUCAGUUUAAUAAUGCA